AGUCGAGGGGCAGCAUUUCAGUUUGCUUGCAAACUGGAGAUGGCGACCGGCGCACGGGUGAGUAACACGCUAUCCAACCUGCCGAUAACUCGGGGAUAGCCUUUCGAAAGAAAGAUUAAUACCCGAUGGUAUAAUCAGACCGCAUGGUCUUNUUAUUAAAGAAUUUCGGUUAUCGAUGGGGAUGCGUUCCAUUAGGCAGUUGGUGAGGUAACGGCUCACCAAACCUUCGAUGGAUAGGGGUUCUGAGAGGAAGGUCCCCCACAUUGGAACUGAGACACGGUCCAAACUCNUACGGGAGGCAGCAGUGAGGAAUAUUGGUCAAUGGGCGCAGGCCUGAACCAGCCAAGUAGCGUGAAGGAUGACUGCCCUAUGGGUUGUAAACUUCUUUUAUAUGGGAAUAAAGUUUUCCACGUGUGGAAUUUUGUAUGUACCAUAUGAAUAAGGAUCGGCUAACUCCGUGCCAGCAGCCGCGGUAAUACGGAGGAUCCGAGCGUUAUCCGGAUUUAUUGGGUUUAAAGGGAGCGUAGGUGGACAGUUAAGUCAGUUGUGAAAGUUUGCGGCUCAACCGUAAAAUUGCAGUUGAUACUGGCUGUCUUGAGUACAGUAGAGGUGGGCGGAAUUCGUGGUGUAGCGGUGAAAUGCUUAGAUAUCACGAAGAACUCCGAUUGCGAAGGCAGCUCACUGGACUGCAACUGACACUGAUGCUCGAAAGUGUGGGUAUCAAACAGGAUUAGAUACCCUGGUAGUCCACACAGUAAACGAUGAAUACUCGCUGUUUGCGAUAUACAGUAAGCGGCCAAGCGAAAGCAUUAAGUAUUCCACCUGGGGAGUACGCCGGCAACGGUGAAACUCAAAGGAAUUGACGGGGGCCCGCACAAGCGGAGGAACAUGUGGUUUAAUUCGAUGAUACGCGAGGAACCUUACCCGGGCUUAAAUUGCAUUUUGAAUAUUUUGGAAAACAGGAUAGCCGNAAGGCAAAUGUGAAGGGGCUGCAUGGUUGUCGUCAGCUCGUGCCGUGAGGUGUCGGCUUAAGUGCCAUAACGAGCGCAACCCUUAUCUUUAGUUACUAACAGGUCAUGCUGAGGACUCUAGAGAGACUGCCGUCGUAAGAUGUGAGGAAGGUGGGGAUGACGUCAAAUCAGCACGGCCCUUACGUCCGGGGCUACACACGUGUUACAAUGGGGGGUACAGAAGGCAGCUACCUGGUGACAGGAUGCUAAUCCCAAAAGCCUCUCUCAGUUCGGAUCGAAGUCUGCAACCCGACUUCGUGAAGCUGGAUUCGCUAGUAAUCGCGCAUCAGCCAUGGCGCGGUGAAUACGUUCCCGGGCCUUGUACACACCGCCCGUCAAGCCAUGAAAGCCGGGGGUACCUGAAGUACGAACCGCAAGAG
rnacentral:rRNA from 1 species